GGUCAGGCCCUGCGCAACCAAAGCCUGUGAACUCCGCCAGGCCCGGAAGGGAGCAACGGUAAGCAGAAACUCGGUGUGCCGCAGGUAAACUUGGCCCCU
rnacentral:SRP_RNA from 1 species